GAAAUGCGAUAAUUAAUGUGAAUUGAAGAAUUCAGUGAAUCAUCGAGUCUUUGAACGCACAUUGCGCCCCCUGGUAUUCCGGGGGGCAUGCCUGUCCGAGCGUCAUUGCUGCCCUCAAGCACGGCUUGUGUGUUGGGCUUCCGUCCCUGGCAACGGGGACGGGCCCAAAAGGCAGUGGCGGCACCAUGUCUGGUCCUCGAGCGUAUGGGGCUUUGUCACCCGCUCCCGUAGGUCCAGCUGGCAGCUAGCCUCGCAACCAAUCUUUUUCACCAGGUUGACCUCGGAUCAGGUAGGGAUACCCGCUGAACUUAAGC
rnacentral:misc_RNA from 1 species